rnacentral:rRNA from 1 species
GAUGAACGCUGGCGGCGUGCCUAAUACAUGCAAGUCGAGCGAACGGACGAGAAGCUUGCUUUUCUGAUGUUAGCGGCGGACGGGUGAGUAACACGUGGAUAACCUACCUAUAAGACUGGGAUAACUUCGGGAAACCGGAGCUAAUACCGGAUAAUAUUUUGAACCGCAUGGUUCAAAAGUGAAAGACGGUCUUGCUGUCACUUAUAGAUGGAUCCGCGCUGCAUUAGCUAGUUGGUAAGGUAACGGCUUACCAAGGCAACGAUGCAUAGCCGACCUGAGAGGGUGAUCGGCCACACUGGAACUGAGACACGGUCCAGACUCCUACGGGAGGCAGCAGUAGGGAAUCUUCCGCAAUGGGCGAAAGCCUGACGGAGCAACGCCGCGUGAGUGAUGAAGGUCUUCGGAUCGUAAAACUCUGUUAUUAGGGAAGAACAUAUGUGUAAGUAACUGUGCACAUCUUGACGGUACCUAAUCAGAAAGCCACGGCUAACUACGUGCCAGCAGCCGCGGUAAUACGUAGGUGGCAAGCGUUAUCCGGAAUUAUUGGGCGUAAAGCGCGCGUAGGCGGUUUUUUAAGUCUGAUGUGAAAGCCCACGGCUCAACCGUGGAGGGUCAUUGGAAACUGGAAAACUUGAGUGCAGAAGAGGAAAGUGGAAUUCCAUGUGUAGCGGUGAAAUGCGCAGAGAUGUGGAGGAACACCAGUGGCGAAGGCGACUUUCUGGUCUGUAACUGACGCUGAUGUGCGAAAGCGUGGGGAUCAAACAGGAUUAGAUACCCUGGUAGUCCACGCCGUAAACGAUGAGUGCUAAGUGUUAGGGGGUUUCCGCCCCUUAGUGCUGCAGCUAACGCAUUAAGCACUCCGCCUGGGGAGUACGACCGCAAGGUUGAAACUCAAAGGAAUUGACGGGGGCCCGCACAAGCGGUGGAGCAUGUGGUUUAAUUCGAAGCAACGCGAAGAACCUUACCAAAUCUUGACAUCCUUUGACAACUCUAGAGAUAGAGCCUUCCCCUUCGGGGGACAAAGUGACAGGUGGUGCAUGGUUGUCGUCAGCUCGUGUCGUGAGAUGUUGGGUUAAGUCCCGCAACGAGCGCAACCCUUAAGCUUAGUUGCCAUCAUUAAGUUGGGCACUCUAAGUUGACUGCCGGUGACAAACCGGAGGAAGGUGGGGAUGACGUCAAAUCAUCAUGCCCCUUAUGAUUUGGGCUACACACGUGCUACAAUGGACAAUACAAAGGGCAGCGAAACCGCGAGGUCAAGCAAAUCCCAUAAAGUUGUUCUCAGUUCGGAUUGUAGUCUGCAACUCGACUACAUGAAGCUGGAAUCGCUAGUAAUCGUAGAUCAGCAUGCUAUGGUGAAUACGUUCCCGGGUCU